rnacentral:rRNA from 1 species
AUUGAACGCUGGCGGCAGGCCUAACACAUGCAAGUCGAACGGUAGCACAGAGGAGCUUGCUCCUUGGGUGACGAGUGGCGGACGGGUGAGUAAUGUCUGGGAAACUGCCCGAUGGAGGGGGAUAACUACUGGAAACGGUAGCUAAUACCGCAUAACGUCGCAAGACCAAAGAGGGGGACCUUCGGGCCUCUUGCCAUCGGAUGUGCCCAGAUGGGAUCAGCUAGUAGGUGGGGUAACGGCUCACCUAGGCGACGAUCCCUAGCUGGUCUGAGAGGAUGACCAGCCACACUGGAACUGAGACACGGUCCAGACUCCUACGGGAGGCAGCAGUGGGGAAUAUUGCACAAUGGGCGCAAGCCUGAUGCAGCCAUGCCGCGUGUAUGAAGAAGGCCUUCGGGUUGUAAAGUACUUUCAGCGAGGAGGAAGGCGUUGUGGUUAAUAACCGCAACGAUUGACGUUACUCGCAGAAGAAGCACCGGCUAACUCCGUGC